CUAUCAUUUUUCACACACACACAGAGAGAUCAUGAAGUCUAUGGGUUGAUUCUUCAUCUACUUCGUAUUUUUAUUUUUUUAUUUUUUUCGCCGAUUUGAGAUCUGAAGCUUCGUUCACAACAGAUCUAUCUUUUCCUUCAUUUUUGUUUUUUGUAGAUGUGGUGCAUUUCUCACUCUCUCCGCCUCAUAUGUAUGUGUAUCUAUAGGUCUACGAAGAAAACAGUGAUUAGUUCUCGUUUUUGUUCAAAUUAUCAAUUUUAUUUGAAAGGCAGGGUUGGUCUUCUGUUUUUGGUUGUUUUGUUUCUAGAUCUGAACACGACUUCAUUACUUCUCUGAGAUGGCUUCGAUGAUGAUCUCUCUUGCCUCUGCAUCUGCCUCAGCUUCAGCAAGAUAAUCGCAAGUUGACUGGUAAGAUCCAGUGAAGGAUUCAACCAUGAUCGGAUUGCUUAGAAGUACCCUUAUUCCCUGCACGCUUGUUAGCUGGGCCCCUGAUCCGCAUAGACCAAUAGAUUGAGACAAAGCGGUCUUCUCUGCUCACAAAGCAGAAUUCGUUAUUGGCAAGAUGAUAUGCUACUCUGUACUCCAAAGGAAGUUCUAAUUUUGUGCUUUAAUUUGAAUUGAGCAGUCUUUGGGUAUCAAGGGUAAGAUGUUUGCUAUGAAACACUAAGAGUUUCCUUAUUGAAUCAUGAGAUGUGAGAUUUGAUUUGUUUGGUUGAUUAGAGCCGGUUCAUUGGUUGAUUUUCACCUGCAUUGUUAUUCAAUUUGCAUUUCUAUGACUUUGAUCUGUUUUACCUUGGGAAGAUCUCAGAAUGGAUCUCCUUUUUUCCUUCAUUUCAAGUUUUUACUUUUUAUUCCAUUUGCUGAGCACUCGUGUUGCUUAUACACUUGAUGGUAGGUGCAUCCAACACAUCUUAGACUCAUUCCUUUUCAUGUUGUGCAUGACAUGGCGACAUCACACUUUUUGAAGUGUUUGUCAACAUUGCUGUUGGGCUGAAUGAAUCUGUAUCUGUUUGUUUUGAUGAAAAAAGCUCCUAGAAAGUUUCUGCAAACAAAUCAACUUUUAAGUUCCCAUUUGGUUCAUGGAAAGAAUUAGGGGAAGGAAAGGACAGAAAAGAGGCUUAAAAAUUGAAAUGGUUCAUUUUAAAUGUUCUCUCUCUCUCUCUCUCUCUCUCUCUCUCUUUUUCUUCAUCAUCUUUAUGUAUUAGGAUGCUUUAUCAGAAGGAAACCAUUUAGUGGUAGAGAAUAUUUCUUUCUUUUAGGAAUUCUUUGUUCUCACAGUCUAGGAAUAUUUCUUUCUUUUGCUCAGUAAUCUCAUUCUCCUUGGCCUCAGCACAAUUUAGGAAUAUUUCUUUCUUUUAGGAAUAUUGAGAGGGAGAUUAAUGAUAUGGAGUUGUGCCGGACAGCUUUGGGCCGGACAGUGUUAUGCCGGACAGAUUUGGACCGAACAGAGUUGUGUCGGAUAGAUUUGGGCCAGACAGGCGUUGGGCCAAGUUAUGUGGCCCGGCCGUGAAGGAAGCUGCUCGGUUAAGGCAGCGCGUGGAUUGAACAAGCUGCGAGGAUCCGUGGUUAUGAAGCUGGGGUACCUGUUUGCUCGGCAGACAGGUUGACCGCAGACAAGUGUGAGUUGUCCCGAGCUCGGCGUUGUCGAGAUGCCGUCGAGUUCGGUCCCCAUCUGAGCUUAGCUGUUGGAGUACUUGGGCAAGAAGCGCAGCAUGGCAGACGAUGGCCGAGAUGGUACUGACCGGCUGCCGAGCUCCUAGGAGAAUGGGAGGGCAGUUGGGUUAGGUGGUGCCCAGCAAGAUUUGUGCUGACAGAUGGGAUAGCAGCACCACGUGUCGAGAGACGGAUGGGAGUGGAUUUGGGGCGCAGAAGGUAUAUAAGCGAGUUUGCGCCCCCCUUUGCAGGCAUGAACAUUUUUUUGUAAGGAAAUUCUUACACUCAAACACUCCUCUCUCCCCAUCCUAAGGUGUGUGCCAACUUGAUCAUCGGAGGGUUUUGUGGCCACACCGCCGGGUAGCUCACCGCUGUUGUGCUCGCAGAU